GUCGAGCGGAUGAGAGGAGCUUGCUCCUUGAUUUAGCGGCGGACGGGUGAGUAAUGCCUAGGAAUCUGCCUAGUGGUGGGGGAUAACGUUCCGAAAGGAACGCUAAUACCGCAUACGUCCUACGGGAGAAAGCGGGGGAUCUUCGGACCUCGCGCCAUUAGAUGAGCCUAGGUCGGAUUAGCUAGUUGGUGAGGUAAAGGCUCACCAAGGCGACGAUCCGUAACUGGUCUGAGAGGAUGAUCAGUCACACUGGAACUGAGACACGGUCCAGACUCCUACGGGAGGCAGCAGUGGGGAAUAUUGGACAAUGGGCGAAAGCCUGAUCCAGCCAUGCCGCGUGUGUGAAGAAGGUCUUCGGAUUGUAAAGCACUUUAAGUUGGGAGGAAGGGUAUUCACCUAAUACGUGAGUAUUUUGACGUUACCGACAGAAUAAGCACCGGCUAACUUCGUGCCAGCAGCCGCGGUAAUACGAAGGGUGCAAGCGUUAAUCGGAAUUACUGGGCGUAAACGCGCGCGUAGGUGGUUCGUUAAGUUGCAUGUGAAAGCCCCGGGCUCUACCUGGGAACUGCAUCCUAAACUGGCGAGCUAGAGUACGGUAUAGGGUGGUGGAAAUUUCUUGUGUAGCGGUGAAAUGCGUAGAUAUAGGAUGGAACACCAGUGGCGCAGGCGACCACCUGCACUGAUACUCACCACUGAGGUCGCGAACAGCGGUGGUGAGCAUACAGCAUUAGAUACCCCUGGUAGUCCACGCCGUACAUCGAUGUCAACUAGCCGUUGGAAUCCUUGAAGAUUUUAUGUCGCCGCAAGCCUCAACGCAUUAAGUUG
rnacentral:rRNA from 1 species